CGCAGGGUUCAGGAAGCCACUUGCAGGGCUUCGAGGUGAAGGCGGCCUCCAGACAAGCUCCAGCCUUGGGCGAAAGCUUUUGGUGAGGCUCUUCAGGGGGAUGAGACUGCCAGUGGUGCCGCGCACAGACUGGUCUGAAUAAAGAAUUUCAUAUCUCUUUGUUUCAUUAUCAUUACAAGAAGACAUAAGUGAAAGAAUAUGAACUGUCAACUUUCCAUAAUCGCACCAACAGUGAGGAGUUAUUAUGAAAAAAGACUUUUUGGAUUCAGAAAAUUGGUUGACAUCACAUGCUGUCAGAGAAGUGGGAUCUAGAGAAGACCCCCAACACCAGUGAGGCUGGUGAGCAAGCAGGUGCUGGUACCCACAGAACUUAUUCAGUUCACUGCUUUCUUGCUGACUCUGGAUUUCAAAGGUAAGUCUCCACCGAUUUUGAGCUCUACUGUCUGCAUUUUGAGCUCACCAGAUUUAUUUGAGAUCUCUUUUUAUGAAGGCAUCACCUUUUCUAGUGAGUACUGUUCUUGUGUUGAAGCUUCUCAGUAAGUCAACAGUGGAGAAAAUAUAUGGUUCCUGGUGUUUUGGAACAUUUGGUGGAUAACAAGCCCCCUCAGUUAAAACAUCUUAGGAACCUAAAGGCUAAGAUGAGCCCCAUCUGGUCUGUGGACCAGGAGGAUUUUGUGUCUUUUUGGAAAAUGGGUGAACUUUUGGAAUUGUAGUGGAUACUUAAGGGAAACUUCAACCUAGAUAAGUCCACCCUUAAAGUAGGGGAUUCCAAACCUCUCAGAGACAUCAGAAUACAUUCUUUGAUUAGUGUGCAGAAGCUUCUAAAAGACAAAAUAACUUUUAGAAGCUUGUAAAAGGAUCCUUACAUCAUACUAAGUUAAGCCAAAUGAUGGAUAUUCAUUAAAUAUCUAAAUUAUUUCCAAAUAAGACAAACAUUAAAUCCUAAAAAUGUUUAGCUACUUUUGGCUUUUUAAUUUCUACAGUGAGAAAAAAAAAUUAGGUCUAUUAGUAAGUGUGUUUUGUACUACACACACACACACACACACAAUUACUACGAGGAAGAAGAGCUGAAAUUAGAAAAGGCCAUUCUGUUCUCCACAAUUCUCUGCCACUAUCAGGACUGGCAGAACAGGUGGGAAAGCAGGAUAAAUCAGAGAUGUUAGUGUGUUAUUUUACAAUGCUAGGAGGACACAAAAUGCCAUGGAUUAAGAUCCGGGCAAUUGUGACAAAGCUUGAUUAGGAUGCUAAAGGGUGGAAUCUCUGCAAAAGAGUUAAGAAUGAAGAGGAGGAUGUUAUGGUGAUUGCUGAGAAAAUGGGUUAAAGAGUUUAAGGUUUAAGGAAAGUACGAUGUGUGUUGUGGGUUAAAGAAGGUAUGAGGAAUGGAAAUGUGUUUUUGUUGAAGGAAUGUGUUUUGUUGUUUUAGUAGCCUCACUUAUAAAGUGAUAAUUAUUCUACCUAUGUAUAGGACUAUUAGAAUGAUUAAAUGCAAAGCACUUACUUAGAUCAUAAUGUAAUUACUACAUAAAUGCUUAUUAUUUUAUUGUUACUGUUAAAAAGAAAACCACAGGCACAAAAUGACAUAGCUUAGUUCAAGUCACCUAACUGUAGUUUCAACUCUCCAGUAAUGUAACCUUUAACCAGUCAACAUGGAACUUCCUGGUCAAUACAAGGAAAUUUACUGACAGACUCCUCCAUUCUCCUUAGGGCGAUCUUGUGUAAAUAAUGCAUUCUGUAUUACUAAACUCCCUUCCUUCCUUCCUUCCUUCCUUCCUUCCUUCCUUCCUUCCUUCCUUCCUUCCUUCCUUCCUUCCUUCCUUCUUUUCUUCUCUUUCUUUCAUGUUCUCUCUCUGCCUGUACAAACUUCCCUUUUGUUUAGCUCAUCAGGGCUGCUUGCUAGAUGGGAUGCUGAUCAUUUUUUAAUCCUUUAAUGAAGCCAAUUAGAUCUUUAGAUUUAUUUGAUUGAAUUUUGGUUUUUAACACCAUUGCCAUUAUUUUGUUGUUAUUAUUAUUAUUGAUGGAAAAGUUUUUAUUAUUACCUUUUCUGUUUGUUUGCUUGUUUGUUUUUUCUUUUAAUCUGGAUACCCUAAACAAGCCAGAUGAUCCACCUGCCAUUGCUUCAGCCUAGCUUUCUAGAGCAGCAACUGUCCCCAGGCCCUCAUGUUCCCCCCAGAUAUAUCACAACUGAAUCUUGCUAACUGGCUCAUGAUGAACCUGUGGACGGAAAGCUGUAGUACACCUUGGGCUCUGCAGUGUGCUCACCACCCAUUCACAAGUUCAAAGUGCUGGAGAGUUGCACCACCCUCUGUGGUGAACCUUUGACCAAUGGAAAAUGAAGAGUAUAAGAUUAGGAGUAAUAGUUCCCUUAUUUCUAUUACGAUACAGUGUAUACAGUUUCACAAGUGUACAGUCCCAGAAAUCUAGGAAUUAAUUGCCUUUACCAGAUACCAGCUUGAAAACACAUCUUCCAAAUGGCUCACUUUCCCUUUUAUUGGAUUCUUUGUAGAGGAUAUAUUCUUAUAUUUGUGGGAAAAGUGUGUACCCUCUUCUAUGAACUAUUCAUUUUCAUUCCUCAUUUUUCUAACAUGUAUUUUUUUUCUUAUUAAUGUAUGGGGCCUUUUUAAAUACUAUGGAUAUUAGUAUUUCUGCAUUUAUAUUUGGCAAUAUUUUAUGCCACAGGUUACUGCUUUUUACUUUUAUGUAUGAAGUCUCUUCUUGUCUUGCUAUUUUUGUUUAAUUUUAUGUAGUAAUAUAUGUUAAUAUUUUUCUUAAUAAUUUUGGAUUUUUAUGACUAGUUUUAAGUUAUAGCACAUGUUGAUUUUUUACUUGUUUAACUUCAACAAUAAUUAAGACAAUUACAUGAAUUUUCAUACUGACUUACUAAAAUAGUGAAUUAUAGUAAUCAUCUUUUUUUCCUGGAGCAAAACCCACUGUGUCAGGGUACAUGAUUCUUCAAGUUCUAAUUAUAUAUUCUUUUCUUCUUCAUUUAUAAUGAUUAUGUUCAUGUUAAUUAAACGUACAGGAUUUUUUAAUUGAAUGCUGGCUCUGUAAAUUCUGUAGAAAUUUUCAUUCUUUCUCAAGGCUUUUCAACAGUGUAAGUGGUUUCUGAAUUAUUUGUUUAUAGUAUGAAUGUAAUAAUUAAAUUGUGACAUUUUCAACAAAUUUUCUGCAUCAUAUUUUCAAAGGGCAGUUAGCUUUCUAAAAUAUAUCUGAUGCAGGCAAGCAGAGUCCAAGAACUCAGGGGAGGAUCCCACAGGACCAGCCAAGAGGGUCUUUGACUUCAUGCAGGAUAAAAAUCAAGCAAAAGCCAGAGAAAGUGAAAACAGAGUUCAUUGAAUAGUGUCAGUGAUGCAUAGAGAAUAGCAGAAAGAGUGUCUAGGAGACUCAGAAAGGAAAGGAAAAUGAGUCUCUUUAUUGCUUGAGGCUAGGGGUUUAUAUUAGAAAACAUCUAGGGUACUCAUUCCUCCAGAAAAUCAGGGUAGGGUCCAAUCAAAGGAGACUGUCAGGUGAACAAUAGGUGUUAAUCCUUAAAUUACCAAAAGUAGGGGUAUGGAUGUCAUUAUUAACCAAGUUUUGUUUGAAGCUAAUGUCUUGAAACAUAUUUGAGAUCUGGCUCUUAGGUGUUAUCAGGUGUUUGGGGCCUAGGACAAAAGUCAGAGAAUGAUUAACUUCCUUGCUUCCUUGUUGAUGUCAGAACAUAGCUUAUUUGGCUUAUUCAGAGGCAAAAUAUGGAACAUGAGGAAAUGGGGUCUAAGAGAAAACCAGCAGAGACAGAGCCUUUCUAAUGGAAUCCCUUCAGUUUCCUCUCUCAUAUCCCUUGUUUUCUCCAUGUUUAAUGGCUACUGUUUUUUUUUUCCUUUUGAUAAAUUAAUACUUUAAGAGUCAUGUAAUGAAAACCAGAACUAUUUGAAGGCAGUGGAAAAGAUUUGUUUUUAUAUUUCUUCAUUACUUCAGAUAAAGCCCUAACACCUAUGUGACACUUAAUAUAUAGCUAAUUAAUUUACAUAUGUGCAACUUGUAGAUUGCUUUGCCUUGCUUUUGAAGGUUAGCCUGCUACAUUUAAUUAUUUAUUUAAUGAAAUUUACUUUUAUCAAGUCAUAUAUGUGUAUAUUAACAAGUCAGAUACUAAGAAAGAACAUAGAUGUGAGUCUUCAUCUUUUUUUUUUCAUUCUUUGUGUUUAGCACUUGGUAUGCCCUUGCAGUUGCUAUACAGCUGCCCUUAUCUGUCUCAUCCUUCUGGUACUUCCAGUGGGCAAUGCUUAACUCCCUAGUGAACUCUGUAUGCCUUAUCUAUGUUCUUUCUUGUGUUUAUUUUCUAUGGUUAUGUUUUUAGCUGGUUUCUUGAUUUUAUUUUUCAUCUCAUGUUUUCAAUGUAAACAACAACAAAACCAGAAGUUAUAUUUCUUAUGGAAAAUCAAUUUCUUCAUUUUUGAAAAUUUUGGGGACUUGUCUCUAGUUCUAUGCAUUUAACAGCUUCUGAAAAUCAUUCUAAAGUAAUUCAUUCAAAUUGGGAAUUUCACAUUUUAAUAUUUUCUUCCUUUCUCUAAAUUAUUUAUGUCCUAGUGUUUGGGUGUGUAGGUAUAAGUAGGCAUGCAUGCAUGCAUGUGAGUGUGUGUGUGUGUGUGUGUGUGUGUGUGAGAGAGAGAGAGAGAGAGACAGAGACAGAGACAGAGACAGAGACAGACUGACUUGGUCAUUCUUUUUUUAUUAACAUGAGUCUCAUUCACCAGGUGAUUGCUCAUGAUCUCUGAUGGAUAUGCUCGCUGUCUGGAGCUCCUAUGGGUGUGUACAACGAUGCAUCAGCCUCAUUUGAGGUCCUAUUUUUUUUAAAUAUAAUUUAUUGUCAAAUUGGCUUCCAUACAACACCCAGUGCUCAUCUCAAGUGCCCUCCUCAAUGCCCAUCACCCAUUUUCCCCCUCCCUCACCCCCAU